rnacentral:lncRNA from 1 species
AGGACUUGAAUAGCGCCUGAUAGAAACCAGACUGCAGGGAGGGAAAAAAUAUCAACAUAAAGAAGGAAGGAGCCUGGCCCAGUAAUAGAGCAGAAGGUGGAAAGAAGAAUAUUUCUAUGUACACUGAGGCUAUGUUUGAAUGCAUCACAAUUCAGUCCCCUGCAGAGAACACAGCUCCCUUUGGAGGAGAAGUCUGGGUGGUAAACUUUGAUCGCUUCAUUCUUCGGAGGUGACGGCAAGAACAUGUGUUGGGACAUGUCUCACUGCUAUAACCAUCCCACCACCUCCUCAGCAAAAAUUAUGAUUCUAAAGAUAAAGGAGAAGGAAUUUCCUUGUAAGCAACAGAGAGAGAGAGACAUGCACAUCAGACAUCUGGAGGCCAAGCAGCUGGACCUGGAGCAGUUCUGCUGACUUCUCCCCACGCAGCCCGGCUGGUGGGGCACAGGUUCAUACUGAUGGAGAGGACACCGGUGCAGAGUGACAAGAGAGGAACCCCUCAACACAGCAAUUUACAUUCCUGCCAGAGGAGCUCUCAGUCAACAUGGUUUUCCUGUAGAAAUUCUAAUACAGUGUGAGACUGGCCAACUUUUCCAGUGUUAGCAAACCAUAUUUGCAUGUAUUAAAUAAAUUAUAAACCUUGUGUGUAAAUGGAUUCAAUGGGGCAGUAACGUAAGUAAUGGUGGGAUUUGGUGUUUAGUAUGACACAGGAUCCUUUGAAAUGCU